UACGUAGGGGGCAAGCGUUGUCCGGAUUUAUUGGGCGUAAAGAGCGUGUAGGCGGCCAUACAGGUCCGUUGUGAAAACUCGAGGCUCAACCUCGAGACGUCGAUGGAAACCGUAUGGCUAGAGUCCGGAAGAGGAGAGUGGAAUUCCUGGUGUAGCGGUGAAAUGCGCAGAUAUCAGGAGGAAUACCAGUGGCGAAGGCGGCGACCUGGGCCAAUACUGACGCUGAGGUGCGAAAGCCAGGGGAGCGAACGGG
rnacentral:rRNA from 1 species